rnacentral:lncRNA from 1 species
GAAAAAGAGAGAUAUGUAGAUAUUUUUAUAUAUCUUAUCUCUUAUUUCUCUCUCAUCUCUUAAGUUUUAUUUUUCUUCUUAGCUAACAAGAGAAUGAGAGAGAGGGAUAGAAACGUGAGAGAGAGAGAGAAGUCGGGAGAUAGAGAAGACCGAGAGGAAGAAGAAGAGGAGGUUUCGAUAGCCCCAUGUGUGGGUAUUAGAAGCAAAUCUCCAUGGAUGGAAGAGAAUAAGAAGGAAGAGGAAAAAGCAAAAGGUAUAAAUUUCUUCCUCUA